AAUGAACGCUGGCGGCAUGCCUAACACAUGCAAGUCGAACGGCAGCACAGUAAGAGCUUGCCCUUACGGGUGGCGAGUCGCGAACACGUGCCGAAUACAUCGGAACCUACUUUUUCGAGGGGGAUAAAGUCGCGGAACUUACACUAGUACCGGAUACGACCUACGGGUGGAAGCACGGGAUCUUCGGACCUUGCGCGAUUGGAUGAGCCGAUGUCGGGUUAGCUAGUAGGCGGGGUAAAGGCCCACCAAGGCGACGAUCCGUAGCUGGUCUGAGAGAGUGAUCAGCCACACUGGAACUGAAACACGGUCCAGACUCCUACGGGGGGCAGCAGCGGGGAAUAUUGGACAAUGGGCGCAAGCCUGAUCCAGCCAUACCGCAUGGGUUGAGGAGGCCUUCGGGUUGUAAAGCCCUUUUGUUGGGAGAGAAAAGCAGCAGGUUAAUACCCCGCUGGUCUGACGGUACCCAAAGAAUAAGCACCGGCUAACUUCGUG
rnacentral:rRNA from 1 species